rnacentral:lncRNA from 1 species
UUAACAAAAGAAAUUUCAAAUUAUAUGAUUGUCCUCCAUCACUUAUCAACUUAUAUAUACUUUCUCACUAGGGCUGGGACCAUACAUAUACGACACCUGAAAAAUAGAUUUCUGUGUUAAAUAUGGGAUUUAAAGCAACACCAAAACCACAAUCUAGACUAGCAAGCUCUCAUUAAAGCAGCUUUUUAUAAGGAAAGCAAUGAACAAAGUAUGUAUAAAAUUCUUUAGACGUGAGGACAAAAAUCAUAUUUUGUUUCAAAUGUUUUCCAUAUUUGAUGUUGCUGAAGUUUCCUUGAUAAAUGUAUCAUCUGAAGUCAAUUAGAAUUCUGUUU